rnacentral:rRNA from 1 species
GACAGAGGGUGCAAACGUUGUUCGGAAUUACUGGGCGUAAAGCGCGUGUAGGCGGUCUCGCAAGUCGGAUGUGAAAGCCCAGGGCUCAACCCUGGAAGUGCACUCGAUACUGCGAGGCUAGAGUCCCGGAGAGGAUGGUGGAACUCUCGGUGUAGAGGUGAAAUUCGUAGAUAUCGAGAAGAACACCGGUGGCGAAGGCGGCCAUCUAGACGGUGACUGACGCUGAGACGCGAAAGCGUGGGGAGCAAACAGG